GUCGAAGUGGUUAAAAAUGGCCAAACUCUAAUUCGUAAUCAGGAGGUCGGGUGUUCGAUUCACCCCAGCGGCACCA
rnacentral:tRNA from 1 species